UACGUAGGGGGCAAGCGUUGUCCGGAAUCAUUGGGCGUAAAGCGCGCGUAGGCGGCCCGGUAAGUCCGCUGUGAAAGUCAAAGGCUCAACCUUUGAAAGCCGGUGGAUACUGCCGGGCUAGAGUCCGGAAGAGGCGAGUGGAAUUCCUGGUGUAGCGGUGGAAUGCGCAGAUAUCAGGAGGAACACCGAUAGCGAAGGCAGCUCGCUGGGACGGUACUGACGCUGAGGCGCGAAAGCGUGGGGAGCGAACAGGA
rnacentral:rRNA from 1 species